GAUGAAGAACGCAGCGAAAUGCGAUAAGUAAUGUGAAUUGCAGAAUUCAGUGAAUCAUCGAAUCUUUGAACGCACAUUGCGCCCCCUGGUAUUCCGGGGGGCAUGCCUGUUCGAGUGUCAUUUCACCACUCAAGCCUCGCUUGGUAUUGGGCAACGCGGUCCGCCGCGUGCCUCAAAUCGACCGGCUGGGUCUUCUGUCCCCUAAGCGUUGUGGAAACUAUUCGCUAAAGGGUGUUCGGGAGGCUACGCCGUAAAACAACCCCAUUUCUAAGGUUGACCUCGGAUCAGGUAGGGAUACCCGCUGAACUUAAGCAUAUCAAUAAGCGGAGGA
rnacentral:misc_RNA from 1 species